AUGGUGGAGUGUCACCCAGAUAGCACCUGUUCAUCUGUGUGAACCUGCAGAACAGUAUUUUCCAGAUGCCACCAGGUGAAGAUCCAGUACAACUGAUCUCAGGCAUUGCAAAGUUCUUCAAAGAAAAGCCCGAUCUCCUUUUCUACCAAAGUGAGGAGUCAAAUGCUGCUGGACUGAGCAUCCCAAGCACACCUUGCAUCCUUAUCAUGGGU